AGCUGCUGGCCACUGCACAAGAUUAGACUUAAGACUCUUGUGCGUGUGACAGCGGCUAU
rnacentral:pre_miRNA from 4 species